rnacentral:rRNA from 1 species
AUUGAACGCUGGCGGCAUGCCUUACACAUGCAAGUCGAACGGCAGCGGACCUUCGGGUGCCGGCGAGUGGCGAACGGGUGAGUAAUAUAUCGGAACGUACCUUUCAGUGGGGGAUAACGUAGCGAAAGUUACGCUAAUACCGCAUAUUCUGUGAGCAGGAAAGCAGGGGAUCGCAAGACCUUGCGCUGAUUGAGCGGCCGAUAUCAGAUUAGCUAGUUGGUGAGGUAAAGGCUCACCAAGGCGACGAUCUGUAGCGGGUCUGAGAGGAUGAUCCGCCACACUGGAACUGAGACACGGUCCAAACUCCUACGGGAGGCAGCAGUGGGGAAUUUUGGACAAUGGGCGCAAGCCUGAUCCAGCCAUGCCGCGUGAGUGAAGAAGGCCUCGGUUGU